AUCCACCUGAUGAGUCCCAACUAGAACAAAACGCGAGUCCUGGAU
rfam:Schistosoma mansoni strain Puerto Rico chromosome 4, complete genome